UACAGAGGGGGCAAGCGUUAUUCGGAAUUAUUGGGCGUAAAGGGCGCGUAGGCGGCUUGGCAAGUGGAUGGUGAAAUCCCUCGGCUUAACCGAGGAACUGCCGUCCAAACUGCUUUGCUUGAGACCGGGAGAGGUGAGUGGAAUUCCCAGUGUAGCGGUGAAAUGCGUAGAUAUUGGGAGGAACACCAGUGGCGAAGGCGGCUCACUGGACCGGUACUGACGCUGAGGCGCGAAGGCCAGGGGAGCAAACGGG
rnacentral:rRNA from 1 species